ACUGAUUUAACAUGUAUAUAAAAAGGCUUUCGGAAUGAGCGUUUCACAUUUGCUUCUCGAAAUUCACCGUCUGUUUUCAGUAAAUCGUGAAGAUGAAACUCUCCUCAUUCAUGCCUGGAGCGCUGGCCAAUUGCAACUGCGGAAUGCGCAUUCAGGACCUCUCACGAAUGCGGUUCCCUUCUCGCGAACCCAGCCCGCCCAGCCUGCCGCCCGUUCUUUCCCCAACGAAAUCAACAAGACCGCAGCGGAAAGGUUUCAUGGUCAAGAAGGCUGACCUAGUCACCGGUUCUCCUAAUGAAUCAGCAAUUGGUGCUGGAAUUCGAAUCCCAGCAUCUCCUUUCAAGCAGGGGAAACCGUCAGAAACCAAUCUCAGAGUUAACAAAGUUAGCUAACAAAGACAAGACCUCUGCAAAACGGAAGACCACAACCUCCCCAUGGACGUCAUCUGCUGCCCUUCUUGACUUGACUCAGGAGUUAAACGCCCAUUCUCCAGGGUAGGCAAGUAAAGUCAUUAGAGCAUAGACAGUGGGAGAGAGUGGCUCCUCUCCCUGAUAAGAUGGAGACAGAGAACCAAAGACCCUUGAAGAAGGGAGCAGAGGUGGCAGAGGUGGAGACUGCAGGCAGAGGCGGUUUACAAGGGCAGAGGCAAAAUGGAGUCUUUUGUUUGGAAUUUCAAAACAGCCAAGACAGAGCAUUAAGGCAAGUCAAGGGUUUUUUUGUUUUUGUUUUUGUUUUUGUUUUUGUUUUCUGAGCGGGAAGGCUAGUAUGAGGUGCCACAAGGACUGUGUUCAGACAGCAGGCCCUGCUCAGAAGAGAUAAAUUGUUGAUGUGGCUAGCAAAUAUUCUCUGAAAGGUUCCCCAACCUCAGACGGUACCACCAGUAUUCAGGGCAGAACUACGGGCUUCCCAGUGUACCCAGAGACUGGAGAGCACAGCCCCCCUCCCAGUUGUCUGUUUUCAUUACAAUUAAACAUUCUACAUUCUGGGAAAGAGAGAGUCCGCAAGCAGGAGGUAAAUAUUUUUGCCAUCUUUGAAAAAAGGAUGAAGGCUGAGAGUCACAAAAUUACAUUGAUUUAAAGAAGUAGGGAAAUUGAUAUGUUUUGCUCACUUCGGUUUGUAGCCUGAAAUUUAUUCCACAUAUGUCUUUAUAAAUAUUUAAGUAUAUAAAACCAAAUGUUUAAUAUAAGAUCCACAUUGUAAAUAUUCCUUUGAGAGUAUUUUUCUGCAUGGACUGGAAUGGCUGAACUUCUUAAAAUAUAAGUCCAAGGGGCGGAGGGGACAGAGCCUGCGUUUUUGGUAACCCUCCCUGGAAUACCCACAGGCUGUCUCCACUGCUGCAAGGAGUUUUAAUGUACAU
rnacentral:lncRNA from 1 species